AUUGAACGCUGGCGGCAGGCCUAACACAUGCAAGUCGAGCGAGAAAGUUCCUUCGGGAGCGAGUAGAGCGGCGGACGGGUGAGUAACGCGUAGAAAUCUGCCUGGUAGUGGGGGAUAACCCGGGGAAACUCGGGCUAAUACCGCAUACGUCCUACGGGAGAAAGUGGGGGACCUUCGGGGCCUCACGCUAUCAGAUGAGUCUGCGUCGGAUUAGCUAGUUGGUAGGGUAAGGGCCUACCAAGGCGACGAUCCGUAGCUGGUCUGAGAGGAUGAUCAGCCACACUGGGACUGAGACACGGCCCAGACUCCUACGGGAGGCAGCAGUGGGGAAUAUUGGACAAUGGGGGCAACCCUGAUCCAGCCAUGCCGCGUGUGUGAAGAAGGCCCUAGGGUUGUAAAGCACUUUCAGUGGGGAGGAAAUGGCCAAGGUUAAUAGCCUUGGUAGCUGACGUUACCCACAGAAGAAGCACCGGCUAAUUCCGUG
rnacentral:rRNA from 1 species